UACGUAGGGGGCGAGCGUUGUCCGGAAUUAUUGGGCGUAAAGGGCUCGUAGGCGGUUUGUCGCGUCGGGAGUGAAAACCUCGGGCUUAACUCGGGGCUUGCUUUCGAUACGGGCAGACUGGAGGUAUGCAGGGGAGAACGGAAUUCCUGGUGUAGCGGUGAAAUGCGCAGAUAUCAGGAGGAACACCGGUGGCGAAGGCGGUUCUCUGGGCAUGACCUGACGCUGAGGAGCGAAAGUGUGGGGAGCGAACAGG
rnacentral:rRNA from 1 species